UACGUAGGGGGCAAGCGUUGUCCGGAAUUAUUGGGCGUAAAGCGCGCGCAGGCGGUUCUUUAAGUCUGGUGUCUAAGUGCGGGGCUCAACCCCGUGUCGCACUGGAAACUGGGGAACUUGAGUGCAGAAGAGGAAAGCGGAAUUCCACGUGUAGCGGUGAAAUGCGUAGAGAUGUGGAGGAACACCAGUGGCGAAGGCGGCUUUCUGGGCCCGUCCUGACGCUGAGGCGCGAAAGCUAGGGGAGCGAACAGG
rnacentral:rRNA from 1 species